rnacentral:lncRNA from 1 species
GGCCUUAGUACCUAUGAUUUUAUUAAAGAAAACAGCUUUCUGCCAUUUCAAAUUGAUCACAUCAGGCAAAUGGCUUAUCAGAUCUGCCAAUCUAUAAAUUGUAAGUAUUCAUGAACACAUAUAUUUUAUUGUCUUUAUUUUCUAAUCAGCAUAUGAACACUUGCAGGUUACAGGUAAAGUUGAUGUCUCUUUUGACCGUCAUUUCCACUUCUCAUCCCUUUUCACUCAACUGGCCCCAAUUAAAUCUCAGACUAAUGAUGGUUUUCUGUUUCCUUUGUAGUUUUACAUCAUAAUAAAUUAACACACACGGAUCUAAAACCUGAAAAUAUUUUAUUUGUAAAGUCUGACUAUGUGGUCAAAUACAAUUCUAAAAUGAAACGAGAUGAGCGCACGUUGAAAAACACAGAUAUCAAAGUUGUUGACUUUGGAAGUGCGACAUAUGACGAU